CACUGAGGAAGAUUGAAAUGAAAACUGAAAGUACAUUGUACAGAUUGAAGAAAAUUUCCAGCCCCACUUCCCUCAGGGUGCUGCUUUGUGCGAUAUUGCAUUUUCCUGUGUAUUUCUUCUUCGUGCUGCCAGUGGAGUACGUAUUCUCUGAAGCUGGACUCUCGAUAUACUGUGAAUGCCAUCUCUGUAAGAGGAUGUAGACUCUUGAAACGGAGGUGCAGCCAUCUUCCUAGGACGACGAGGCAACCUUGAGGUUGGAAGCCGCAUUGAGAGACAGCAGAGAAUGAAGUCAGAAGCAGGCUGGGGCCUGAAUGACAUCUCUGAGCUGCCAGAUCAGCCCUGGGCUGUCACUAUCUAAAUUCAUUUUACAAAAGAAAAUAACAAAAGAAAACCCUCGUUUUGUUUAAGCCAGCGGUAUUUCUGGUCUCUGUUAUGAGCAGAAUAACACAAAUUUUCCCUCCCUCCUUUUCCUUCCCAACAUUUUAUCAUAAAACUUCUAAAACACAAAGCAAAGGUGAAAGAAUUUUCAGUGUCUACCAAUGUCUCUACCAUGUAGUGUAGUGAUAGUUAAUAUUUUACUAAACUUUCCUACUUUAUUAUAAUCCAUACCACUGUUCAUUCCAUAUCCAUCCAUCAUCCUUAUUUAAUUGUUCAUUUAUUUUUAAAUUCACAGUCUAUCAGUAGGUGUGUGGCUUGAAAUUGUAUCAGUGAGAACCAUCACCCCACCCUUACCUGCA